AACGUAGGAGACAAACGUUAUCCGGAGUUACUGGGCGUAAAGGGCGCGUAGGCGGCCUGAUAAGUAGGGGGUGAAAUCCUGCGGCUUAACCGCAGGGCUGCCUUCUAAACUGUCAGGCUAGAGCACAGUAGAGGCAGGUGGAAUUCCCGGUGUAGCGGUGGAAUGCGUAGAGAUCGGGAAGAACAUCAGUGGCGAAGGCGGCCUGCUGGGCUGUUGCUGACGCUGAGGCGCGACAGCGUGGGGGAGCAAACAGG
rnacentral:rRNA from 1 species